CCCACUGUGUCGGUAAAUAUUAAUGUUCUGCAAGUUCCGAGAUCCCCACACACCUAGAAUAUCCUGGACAGCAUCACCAGUCAUAACCGCAGUUCUCUCCGAAUGUCACGUUCAGAAGUAAUCAAGUCGCUCUGUUGGUUCCGCGUCACGGACUCCCGUCGGAUCUCUGACAUGGGGAGUCUUGUCGUUGCACUUUGGUGCCCUGCCAGUGUCCUGCGAAGGCACCUCCCGCCAAGGAGUCACGGAAAGGACUGACAGGCAAAGUCUGAUGAUGGCUCCUAAGCGCGGCUUCUCAGCCUGGAGAGUCUUUCGAAGUUCACGGGAGAUUCCUUACGGAAAGUCUGAGCCAAGCGGACUUAAAAGUCUGUAUGAAAUGCCUCUUAUUAAAUAUCCGAUGACUUGCCCCCAGACCUAACUCGGGAGCCUCCUGAAAUGGAGCCGGCUGCUUAACCGAACGGCCCCGUCGUCAGGACUGGGAGGCUG